AUUGAACGCUGGCGGCAGGCCUAACACAUGCAAGUCGAACGGUAACAGAGAGCAGCUUGCUGCUCUGCUGACGAGUGGCGGACGGGUGAGUAAUGUCUGGGAAACUGCCUGAUGGAGGGGGAUAACUACUGGAAACGGUAGCUAAUACCGCAUAACGUCUUCGGACCAAAGUGGGGGACCUUCGGGCCUCAUGCCAUCAGAUGUGCCCAGAUGGGAUUAGCUAGUAGGUGGGGUAAAGGCUCACCUAGGCGACGAUCCCUAGCUGGUCUGAGAGGAUGACCAGCCACACUGGAACUGAGACACGGUCCAGACUCCUACGGGAGGCAGCAGUGGGGAAUAUUGCACAAUGGGCGCAAGCCUGAUGCAGCCAUGCCGCGUGUAUGAAGAAGGCCUUCGGGUUGUAAAGUACUUUCAGCGAGGAGGAAGGGRUUGUGGUUAAUAACCGCAGUCAUUGACGUUACUCGCAGAAGAAGCACCGGCUAACUCC
rnacentral:rRNA from 1 species